CUCGCGGGGUUUUUGCUCGGUGGCCGGCGUGGGAGGUGAUUUGCCUUGUGACCCUCUGUCCGCGCCUCGGGCGGCACCCACCGACAGCGGCGCUCCGGGGGUGCUGCUGCAGCGACACAAGCUUUGCACCCAAACGGGGUAGCGACACCCGCCCUGGGGACCCUUCAACCCCGGCCUCUUGCCGGCUGCACUGCCUCGUCCCUGGGGUCCCUGGGUCCGGCGGCGGAGCAGGAGCAGGGGGUGCUCUGGACCCCGAAGCCCAGGGUGUGGUUUCCAUGGGUGUGCUCGUUGGAAUCUCCCCUCUUCCUUUUUGGGUUAUUCUCAUCCUUUCCAGAUGUGAUGCUGCAAGGCAGGAGCCGCUGCCGGGCCGAUCCCGAAGGGGCAGGGGCUGUCACUCCCAGGGGUUUCAUGGAGGGAGGCGGAUGCGGAUUGUCUGGCUGUCCCAGUUCCCCCAUGGCCCCCCUCGUCUGUGCACGCUGCUUCGCGCGGUGCCUUGGCUCCGAAGCAAAGCAAGUUAUUUCUGCUCGCUCAGGGCGCUGGAAGCUGCUGGGCUGUCAAAGGUGAUCUUGCAGCUAAUUUGGAGGCUUCGUUGCGCUGUAGCUGUGCUCCCUGGCAGGGUUUCCCUCAGUGCCGGGCACUGCACGGACGAAAACGUCCUUCCUGAAGUGCUGUGGGACAGUGGGAGGACACCCUAAAAUGCUUUUCAACCCAGAGACAACAGAGCUCCUGCUCUCGAGCUGUGUUGCUGGCAGUCACCGCUCGGUGCUCAGGUCUCCUGCUGGUUCUCCCCGCAGACCCACGCCCACCUUGGGGGACAGGGACCUUUGUGGCUCUGGGACAGUGACCAUGAGCACCAGUCCUUUUUGGGGUGACUUCGUCUCCGCUGUUUGUGUGCUUAAUGGUCCUUUUUUGCAGUCCCAUGUCGGGGGGACGUGGCGGUGCCACACCUGGGCUAGUCCUGCUCUGGACCCGCCAUGUGUUGCUAGCAUGCUAAUAACGACACAGGCUGCGUUAGAAAUGGAAAAGUAAUUUGGUACCUUUUUCAAUAGUGGGAUAAGCUUUGAAGGGUGAUGGGUAUCCCAAACCUGCUGGGCUGUUUUGCCAGCGUGGAGCUGGAUAUCGCUGGGGAUGUCCUCAUCCUCUUGCAACGGCUCUUGUGCCACCCCUUUCCCCAUGUGCCGCCUCCUUUCCCAUCGGGUCUGCAGCAGGCGGGGCUCAGCAUGGGCUUUGGUGGGGUUCCUGCUUCUGCAAGUAAACAUUUCGUACCUUGCCAUUUUGCUGUGUGCAAGACCCCUCCUGCAAGACCCGUGCACCGAGACUUUUCCCACCUAGCCCGUAUUGCUGGCGACACCCCAGAAUUACAGCAGCUCUCGAAGGAAGCUCUGUGUGCGUGGGCUGAAGCUGGCUUCGUGGUCUGCUGGUGCGUCGGGAGGUGGCACCUCUGUGGUGGGGGCACCUUGCGGAGCGGUCGUGCUCAGGGUGCUGAGCAAGGAGUCUCUGCUGCAGUUUUGCCUCUGCCUGUGAAGUUACUUGGAAAGUUCAGAUUUUGUGGCAGACUCGCACCAAAAAGAGGCACUGACCUUCAAGAAACAUCCUGUAAGGACGGGCUUGUCGGGGACAGCUGAGUAACAACAGGGCACACAGAAAAUCCCGACUCAACAGGAACUGCAUGAGAAGUGUUUGAGCUGUCUGGGUUUAAGAGAGCCUUCCAAGGGAGCGGAGCCGCAGAGACUGAGUGCUGGGUGUCAAAGCUGCGUGGUGGGGGUGCCUUGGGCAGCAUCCCGCGCUUGAACCCCGCUCAGAAAGUGAUUCCAAGCAAUCCUGCAAGAGGAAACCACGUCAGCCUGGUACGUGGCAUCAGGUAGGAUGAUGGAUGCGGUGGCAGCUGGCCAGCUCUCCGACAGCGCUGCUGGUUGGGGUGCAUCCUGACAGCGGCUCAAGGGCCGCAGAGCUCAGCGCUGGCUCCCACCCGUCCCGGGGAGUCACCGUCCCCCUCCGCUGGCCAGCUGGCCCGUCCCUGCAGGGUGCGCUGGGGUGCCUGAACCUGGGAGGGGAGUCGGCAUCUUCAGGUCCUGCAAGGUCCCCAAGGGUUGGUGGGGAGGUAGAGAUGAGAUGCUGGUGAUGAUGAUGAGAGGGAAGCAAGGAGACCUUGUUCCAGUGCAUUUUCGCCGGCCUGCCUGGCACCCACCUCUCCCAGUAGCUCUGGACAUGCCCCUUGUGUGGGGUCUGGCAGGGCCACGACGGGGUGGGAGGAGGAUGUGGGUCCUUGCUCUGGGUGGUCAUUCUGCCUCCAGAUGCAGAGUCUGGGCCCUCGAUGGCUGCUUCUGUUGCACCUGAGCUUCAUAACACAAAAGGCAGUAGGUUUUUUGCAGGGGUUUCUCCAUGUUUUUGGAAGAGGAGAAGGAGCUGGCUGGGCCCAGCACAGCCUUGCCUUGCUGCUGCAAGCUCUCAUAGAAUCAUAGGAUGUCCUGAGCUGGAAGAGACCCACAAGGACCGUCAAGUCCAGCUCCCGUCCCUGCACAGGACAAGCCCAAAUUCGCACCGUGUCUCUGAGGGUGUUGUCCAAGUGCUUCUUGAACAUUGCCAGGCCUCCCUGGGGAGCCUGUUCCAGGGCUCCACCACCCUCUGGGGGAAGAACCUUUUCCUAAUACCCAGCCUAACCCUCCCCUGGCACAUCUCCCUGCCAUUCCCUCGGGUCCUCUGUCAUCAUGAGCCAAGAAAAAAUGGACAGUGAGUUUUUGCCAGGAUCAUACAAUGGUUUGGGUUGGAAGGGACCUUUAGAGGCCAUCUAGUCCACCCCCCCUGUAGUGAGCAGGGACAUCUUCAACUAGCUCAGGUUGCUCAGAGCCCCGUCCAGCCUGGCCUUGAGUGUUUCUAGAGAAUCUACCACCUCUCUGGGCAACCUGUUCCAGUGUUUCACCAUCCUCAUAGUAAAAAAUUUCUUCCUUAUGUCUAA